rnacentral:rRNA from 1 species
GUCUAUGGCCAUGCUACCCUGAACAAGCCUGAUCCUGUCUGACCUCAGAAGCAAAGCAGGGUCGGGCCUGAUUAGUACUUGGAUGGGAGACCGCAUAGGAGGACCAAGUGCUGUAGGCA